GAUGAACGCUGGCGGCGUGCCUAAUACAUGCAAGUCGAGCGAACAGAUGAGGAGCUUGCUCCUCUGACGUUAGCGGCGGACGGGUGAGUAACACGUGGAUAACCUACCUAUAAGACUGGGAUAACUUCGGGAAACCGGAGCUAAUACCGGAUAAUAUAUUGAACCGCAUGGUUCAAUAGUGAAAGACGGUUUUGCUGUCACUUAUAGAUGGAUCCGCGCCGCAUUAGCUAGUUGGUAAGGUAACGGCUUACCAAGGCGACGAUGCGUAGCCGACCUGAGAGGGUGAUCGGCCACACUGGAACUGAGACACGGUCCAGACUCCUACGGGAGGCAGCAGUAGGGAAUCUUCCGCAAUGGGCGAAAGCUUGACGGAGCAACGCCGCGUGAGUGAUGAAGGUCUUUGGAUCGUAAAACUCUGUUAUUAGGGAAGAACAAAUGUGUAAGUAACUAUGCACGUCUUGACGGUACCUAAUCAGAAAGCCACGGCUAACUACGUG
rnacentral:rRNA from 1 species